CAACAAUGAUGAAACUUCUUAGGACACCUUUGGAUGACGAUUGUCAUGUGAAAAGAAUUUUGUACUGAGUUUA